rnacentral:tRNA from 1 species
GAAGGUAGCUUAGUGGUAGAGUGCUUGCCUAGCAUGCAUGAAGCCCUGGGUUCGAUUCCUCACUGCUUCA